UACUCUCAACCCUGUUAUGGAAACCAUGGUUAAUCUGCUCUGCAAAUGGCUGUUACUGUCUAGAGGAAAAGUUUGACAAAGUCAGCGAUGUGUGCUGUUCUUGACAGAAAGUAUUUUUCUCAAUUCAUAUUUGUGUUUGCAGUGAUUGCUCUCAGUAAUGUGCUUCAACAAGGCAAGACAAAAAAUGUACUGAAAUGAGUAAUUUAUGGUCCGCGUGGUUAAGAUUUAAAUAAAAGGUCAUUCUAAAAAGUAAAGUUUUUCAUUCUAAUGUAUAAUAUGUACAACUUCAUUUCAACUGGCAUGGGUCUGUCUAUACACCUGGAUCAGGUUUCGCUCACCCAUGUGUAUUUUUCAACAUUUUAUCAAGAAUCUAACAAGGUGGCCUCUGUGGCCUGUACGCAGAGAAUAACCAACCGACAUGCCAAAAUAAUUUGCGUAAUAUCACUGUGGAGAGAUGUGUCUGGACAAGUAGAAUUGGUGGCAAGUUAUAAAAACAAAUUAAUCUUUUUUUUAUUUAUUUUUAAAAAAUAUUCUGUUUAUUCAUUUUCCAUAUUCACCGUUUAACAUAACAUAACUUAAAACUAGCGCCAUAAUAGAUAUUACAUCUUACAUUUGACACAUACUGUACAUACACACCACUUCUCCCUCCCAUACCGAGACAGGUUCCCCAACAUCACUCUCACCCCACAAAUUAAAAAUGCAGAGAUAAAACAUAAAAAAGUGGGCUACCUCUCAUGGCAUAGGUUAUUUUCUCCAAAGGAUCACAUGAAUUUACCUAGUUAGUCCACUGAAUAAUAUUAGGGGGAUCCUCAUGAAUCCACCUAGAUGUGAUGCAUUGUUUGGCAGCUGUAAUAGCUAGGCUAACAAAACCCUUUACCCUUUGGGAGGGAUGAUUCAGUCCCCAAACAUUGUAAUCACAGGAGAUAAAGAUAUUUCCCUUGAUAAAACUCCUUCAAGAAUAUUUUCAAUCUCCAGCCACCACUGUCUAAGCUUAGAACAAGACCACACCAUAUGUACGAACGUACCAGUCUCCAGUUUGCAGCGGGGACAGAGAGGAGAUGAAUCUGUUUUAAAACGGCUCAGUCACUCAGGCGUAAGGUAUGCUCUAUGUAUGAAUUAGUAAUUGCAGAGCUUAUACCUGGUAUUAAUGUUAGCUAGUACUAUCCUCCAAUCACAUACGACAGAAAUACGAAGUGUUUGUAUCUACAACACCCCAUUAAAAACACUUCCAUUUAACAAUAUGACACUUUCAUUUAUCAUUCAUGGUAAAGGAAAAAUGAUUGAACUGUGUUCCUUUGAGCUACAAUGUAUGUUUGCAUAUUUCUCAUAGCCUAUGUUUAUAUGCAUUAUUGUUAACAAUAAGAAACAAACAUUUUCCAAACCCAGCAGUUUCAACGGUUGACACCCUCAUUUGACGUCUGGCACUCUGAAUACCGAACACCAUCAAUCGUUAAAACACCUUAGCCAUGUAAAAUAUAUUUAUUUUAUUUAAUUUGAUUUGUGCAAAUCAACCUUUAUCAAAAUGUACAACUCACCCCCAGAUAAAAAUGAGGAAAUGUAUUAAGCUACAGUGGGCUCCAGAAUUAUUUGCACCCUUGAUAAAAAUGAAGAAAAAAGGCUGCAUAUAAUAAAUGACACAGAUAAUAAUCUAUAUGUUAUGUUCAAUCAUAUGGGAAAACUAUAUACUUUUAUUUCAAUACAUUUAUUCUCAUGCUUCAAUGUUUUUUUUUAUUAAGUAAUCUAUUUUUUUCUGAAAAUCAUAGGUGCCAUAAUUACUGGCACCCCUAACAUUUAUUGUAAGUAAAAUCAAACUAAAUGAAAUUGGCAAUACAAUUUUACUUAAUUUAGUUCAUCUCAGUCUAAAGGAACUAUAUUGUGUCGUUCCAUCAUUUCCAGUUUCACUAGAGAAUAAAAAUCAGGUAACAAGCAUACAAAAUCCCUUUGUCAUCCAUCAGCUUGGGAAAAAUCAAAUAACUGUCAAUUCAGAAGAGACUGAUGGUAAUUUACCGUCACAAGUCUGGUAAUGGGUACAAAAAAAGCCAUGAAUGUUGAAACAUACCACUUAGCACUGUAAGGGCAAUAAUGUGUCAAACAUAUGGAAUGGUUGCAAAUUUGCCAGGAAGAGGAAGCAAGUGCAUGUUGUCCCCACGGAUGGUGAGGAAGAUGGUGACGGAGGCCAUUAAUAACCCCAAGGAUCACUGUUUAAAGGAGUAACAUGGUGGUUGAACGUGACACUUCCCAGUUGUCUUUAGGCAACAACAAAACAAAU